rnacentral:rRNA from 1 species
UACGAAGGGGGCUAGCGUUGUUCGGAUUUACUGGGCGUAAAGCGCACGUAGGCGGCUUGUUAAGUCGGGGGUGAAAUCCUGGAGCUCAACUCCAGAACUGCCUUCGAUACUGGCAAUCUAGAGUCCGGAAGAGGUGAGUGGAACUCCUAGUGUAGAGGUGGAAUUCGUAGAUAUUAGGAAGAACACCAGUGGCGAAGGCGGCUCACUGGUCCGGUACUGACGCUGAGGUGCGAAAGCGUGGGGAGCAAACAGG